rnacentral:rRNA from 1 species
AGUGAACGCUGGCGGCAUGCCUAACACAUGCAAGUCGAACGGCAGCACCGUAAGUUCUUGCUCUUACCGAUUGCGGAAGGCGUGCGUGUGACGAAUGCAUCGGACCCUACUUUUUCGUGGGGGAUAAGGAAGCGGAACUUACGCUCAUACCGCAUCCCACCUACGGGUGUAAGCAGGGGAGCUUUGGGCCUUGCGCGGUUGAAUGAGCCGAUGUCGGAUUUGCUGGUGGGCGGGGUAACGGCCUACCAGGGGGACGAUCGGUAGCUGGGGUGAGAGGAGGAUCAGCGACACUGGAACUGAAACACGGUCCAGACUCCUACGGGAGGCAGAAGUGGGGAAUAUUGGGCAAUGGGGGCAAGCCUGAUCCAGCGAUACCGCGUGGGUGAAGGAGGCCUUCGGGGGGUAAAGCCCUUUUGUUGGGAAAGAAAAGCAGCAGGUUAAUACCCCGCUGUUCUGACGGUACCCAAAGAAUAAGCACCGGCUAACUUCGUG